rnacentral:rRNA from 1 species
GUUUCCUACGGGACGCAGCAGUGGGGAAUAUUGGACAAUGGGGGGAACCCUGAUCCAGCGACGCCGCGUGAGUGAAGAAGUAUUUCGGUAUGUAAAGCUCUAUCAGCAGGGAAGAAAGAAAUGACGGUACCUGACUAAGAAGCCCCGGCUAACUACGUGCCAGCAGCCGCGGUAAUACGUAGGGGGCAAGCGUUAUCCGGAUUUACCGGGUGUAAAGGGAGCGUAGACGGCAGCGCAAGUCUGGAGUGAAAUGCCGGGGCCCAACCCCGGAACUGCUUUGGAAACUGUGCAGCUCGAGGGCAGGG